rnacentral:rRNA from 1 species
UACGUAGGUGGCGAGCGUUGUCCGGAAUUACUGGGUGUAAAGGGCGUGUAGGCGGGAUUGUAAGUCAGAUGUGAAAUUCUGAGGCUUAACCUCAGUGUUGCAUCUGAAACUGCGAUUCUUGAGUACUGGAGAGGAUAGUGGAAUUCCUAGUGUAGCGGUGAAAUGCAUAGAUAUUAGGAGGAACACCAGUGGCGAAGGCGGCUAUCUGGACGGUAACUGACGCUGAGGCGCGAAAGCGUGGGGAGCAAACAGG